rnacentral:rRNA from 1 species
GAUGAACGCUAGCGGGAGGCUUAACACAUGCAAGUCGAGGGGCAGCAUAGGGUAGCAAUACUCUGAUGGCGACCGGCAAACGGGUGAGUAACGCGUAUGCAACCUACCCUGUACAGGGGGAUAACCCGGAGAAAUUCGGACUAAUAUCCCGUAAUAAUAUCCGGAGGCAUCUUUGGAUAUUUAAAGUUUCGACGGUACGGGAUGGGCAUGCGUAACAUUAGCUGGUUGGUAAGGUAACGGCUUACCAAGGCUAUGAUGUUUAGGGGUCCUGAGAGGGUGGUCCCCCACACUGGUACUGAGACACGGACCAGACUCCUACGGGAGGCAGCAGUGAGGAAUAUUGGUCAAUGGGCGCAAGCCUGAACCAGCCAUCCCACGUGCAGGAAGACGGCCCUAUGGGUUGUAAACUGCUUUUCCAGGGAGAGAAACUUACGCACGUGUUGCGUGACUGACGGUACCCUGGGAAUAAGCAUCGGCUAACUCCGUG